GGAGGUGUAGCUCAGUGGUAGAGCACUUGUCUGACAUGUGCAGAGACCUGGGUUCCAUCUCCA
rnacentral:tRNA from 1 species